rnacentral:tRNA from 1 species
UUAAUUGAAACCAAAUUAGAGGUAUAUCACUGUUGAUGAUAAAAUUGAAUAUAUUUAAAUUCCAAUUAAA